rnacentral:rRNA from 1 species
GUGUCAGCAGCCGCGGUAAGACGUAGGGGGCCAGCGUUGUUCGGAAUUACUGGGUGUAAAGGGUUCGUAGGCGGUGUGGCAAGUCGGGAGUGAAAUCUCUGGGCUCAACCCAGAGACUGCUUCCGAAACUGCUGUGCUUGAGUGUGAGAGAGGCUCGUGGAAUUGCAGGUGUAGCGGUGAAAUGCGUAGAUAUCUGCAGGAACACCCGUGGCGAAAGCGGCGAGCUGGAUCACUACUGACGCUGAGGAACGAAAGCUAGGGGAGCAAACAGGAUUAGAUACCCUGGUAGUCC